GACAGAGGGGGCAAGCGUUGCUUGGAAUUACUGGGCGUAAAGGGCGCGUAGGCGGGAUGGCAAGUCGGUCGUGAAAUCCUUCGGCUCAACCGAAGAACGUCGAUCGAUACUGCUGUUCUUGAGGGUUGCAGAGGAGACUGGAAUUCCCGGUGUAGCGGUGAAAUGUGUAGAGAUCGGGAGGAACACCGGUGGCGAAGGCGGGUCUCUGGGCAAUUCCUGACGCUGAGGCGCGAAAGCGUGGGAGCAAACGGG
rnacentral:rRNA from 1 species